rnacentral:rRNA from 1 species
GAUGAACGCUAGCGGCAGGCUUAAUACAUGCAAGUCGUGGGCAGCAGGUUUGUAGCAAUACAGAUGCUGGCGACCGGCAAACGGGUGCGGAACACGUACAGAACCUUCCUUUGAGCGGGGAAUAGCCCAGAGAAAUUUGGAUUAAUACCCCAUAGUAUAAUGAAGUGGCAUCACUUUAUAUUAAAGAUUUAUCACUCGAAGAUGGCUGUGCGGCUGAUUAGGUAGUUUGGCGGGGUAAAGGCCCACCAAGCCUGCGAUCAGUAACUGGUGUGAGAGCACGACCAGUCACACGGGCACUGAGACACGGG